rnacentral:lncRNA from 1 species
AUCUCCUUCGGGUGAUGCUGGGUCACUGAGCCAUGGUGAUGUUAGUGGCUGGAUCUCAGAAGCAUAUGAUUUCAAUAACUAAUGGGCAGACGUCUUGGGACGCAAAGGGCCAAGGCAUCAGAAACACUUGGUACCAGCUUCCACAGCAACAAUGAGAGGUAACCCCAGUGCUUCCACUACCAACAGGACAUUACCACUUGCAGGCAGAGAAACAGACAAGAAAAAUAGUGGAUGCCACAUAUUAGGACUCGUCUGAGACAUGAUGCAAGACUUUUUAGAAAGAAUUUGAGAUAAGAGAGUUUAAGACAUGUUUUUGCUCCUGGAGUCUGAAGAAGAUGGAGUUAGCAUUUUCACCACUUCUUUUGUCCGUC